UGCCGGCGCAAGCCGGAGGAAGGUGGGGAUGACGUCAAGUCAUCAUGGCCCUUAUGUCCAGGGCGACACACGUGCUACAAUGGCCGGCACAGCGGGAAGCGAGGGGCGACCCUGAGCGGAUCCCUUGAAAGCCGGUCCCAGUUCGGAUUGCAGUCUGCAACUCGACUGCAUGAAGUUGGAAUCGCUAGUAAUCGCGGAUCAGCCAAGCCGCGGUGAAUACGUUCCCGGGCCUU
rnacentral:rRNA from 1 species